CGUGAUAGGCUGCAGCUGAUUGAAUUGCAAACCUGACAACAUCAACGCAAUAACCAUCAAUAUGAAAAAGGAAUCUCGCUACAAAUGAGAGAAAAUAUUAGAACGACCCAAAAUCAAAAGGAAAUUUCUACAAAGAGCGCCAGUGUUGUGACACUUCUUCGGCCUAAUCAGACCCAACGUGCGGCGCGCGGCCGCCAGCGACCGCAACCCAAGACCCAAGAGCCGUAUUUUAUUGAAGAGCAAGCAAGACAACCGAUAGUUCCCUAAUCUAGUAUUGUGGCAAUAAUUACUCUAGUCUGAGUGGGCCCUGCCCCGAUCAGGGAAAGCUGAGUUGCAGAGAGCCGCAACAGCCUAGAAGAAAUUUGAUACCACUCAACGACGAGCGCGUGAAAACUGAAUUGAAGUAGUGGCUAAUUGAAAUAAAUAAUAAUCCAAUCAAUACGUGCAGCUAUCAUUUUGAUAAAUCACCUUUUCUAGUAAAGCAAUAAUAAUAAUAAUAAAAAAAAUGUAUGCAACCCGCUUUGAAUUAAGAGGGUUAUGCAACCGGCAGUGCUGAUCAAAGGAAGUUAUAUGCAACCAGCUCAUCAUGUUAAGUGCCGUUUCUAGCCUGAAGGGUGAAACCGGUACGAAACCGCGUUUCAGACCAUUUCGGAUGGUGCAAUUUAAGCACAGUGUUUUGCUAUACGUUUCAUGCCAUGUUUUGUUAUAUGUUUUGUUACAGUUUUGGAUUAA